UACGUAGGGGGCUAGCGUUGUCCGGAUUUAUUGGGCGUAAAGAGCGUGUAGGCGGUCAGGUAGGUCUGCUGUGAAAACUCGAGGCUCAACCUCGAGAUGUCGGCGGAAACCAUCUGGCUAGAGUCCGGAAGAGGAGAGUGGAAUUCCUGGUGUAGCGGUGAAAUGCGCAGAUAUCAGGAAGAACACCCGUGGCGAAGGCGGCUCUCUGGGACGGUACUGACGCUGAGACGCGAAAGCGUGGGGAGCGAACAGG
rnacentral:rRNA from 1 species